GAUGAAGAACGCAAGCGAAAUGCGAUAAGUAGUGUGAAUUGCAGAAUUCAGUGAAUCAUCGAAUCUUUGAACGCACAUUGCGCCCUAUAGUAUUCUGUAGGGCAUGCCUGUUCGAGCGUCAUUUAUAGGCUCCAAGUUCUACUUGGUUAUUGGGUGUUUGUCUGUUGUUAGACUGGCCUUAAAUAUAUUGGCACCUGAUGGUAGGACUGUGAGCGCAGUAAAUGAACUCAUUGGCCUAUAGUUUGGUCUCCAGAAGCCCAUUAUUUAUCUUGACCUCGGAUCAGGUAGGGAUACCCGCUGAACUUAAGCAUAUCAAUAAGCGGAGGA
rnacentral:misc_RNA from 1 species